rnacentral:lncRNA from 1 species
CCUACUCUAAUAAGGUUUUGAUAUCUGGAGCUCAUAGGUGGGAGACAGCUAAUACAUACUUACAAGACAUUUAUUGCAUAGUCAAACCAUGGAUCCAGAGAAACAAGUCAAUAAGUCAAAUCAAGAUGUGCAUGUGUGGCGAAUGAAUGGUGUAUGGUCAUGAUGGUGAUAAUAAUGGUGAAAGUCUAAUUCUACUUUUGCUCUUUUGAGGGGAUACAUACCUUUCUUGCACUUUGAAGCUUUUUGGGGAGAAUGAGAUGCUCUAUAUUUUCUUUUUCUUUCCUCUUAGGUGGGUAUCUUGUACCCCUAAUUCUACUGUCGGACACUUGUCCAUUUUGAGCUCUCGUCUCACUUUUUUUCUUUUCUUCGAGGUUCCGGGCACUUGCCCCUUUUUAUUUCCUCGUAUUAUUAUAGUCCUCUCCAGGGGCCAGGGGGGUCUCCUUAUAUAGUCCUCCUCCUCUAUGCGUUUUUGGGUCGGUAGGCGAUGUGGUACUACAUUAUCCUUGAUCCUUUAGGUCGGUGGAACAUCGUGUGCGAAGAGAGUCUCGAACGGAGUCUAGGACAGGGCGGGCGCCCAGGGAAGGAAGGCGGGCGCCCUGGGCCUGGCCCCUUUCGGCCUCUGCUUUCUUCCCGUGGCUUCUGGAGUCUUCUAGAUGGUAGAAAAUUGCGCGGUGCGUUGAUAUAUCUAUGUAAUCCCGACAUGUGGGCCUUUCUUCCGUAUUUCCUGAUAACCCCCUACAGAAAUAGACAAACACCAAAACUCGUUGAAUUGUGUCAGAUAAAAACCUAAGUCUGGGUGUUGGUUGCAUGUAGAUCCUUUUAUUUAUUUAUUUGAUGAUUAUAUUUGGUACAUAAGGACCGUCAACAACUCCCCCAAGCUUACCUCUUGCUCGUCCCUGAGCAAGGAUGAACUCAAGAGUUUCUGCAGUGGUUUCAUGCCUUAAAAGUACACACGUAUUCAAGCAAGAUCUCAUCUCUGAGUAGAAUAAACUGUUAAGACUUAAAACUUACUCAUUUUACCUUUCACCAUGGGGCUUGUAACCGUCACUUGUGUCUUGAGCAGUUAAAAGAUAGAACGGUCAAGUCUAGCGCCAUGUCUCUUAUUCUUUGAUCAGCUAUAGCUCUGGAGUUUUUGCAGAUUUUCAAAUAAAACUCAGAGAUUCCUUGUAUGACUCUCUCAGAUCUCUCUGUUGUGGUAUUUCUGGAUCCUUACCAGGGCAGUAAUGAUAUAUGCCUUCUCUCAAAGUAUGUGGUAUUUUUGGUAUAAGGCAUAGUGAUAUUGCCUGCUCUCUCACCCUACUCUAAUAAGGUUUUGAUAUCUGGAGCUCAUAGGUGGGAGACAGCUAAUACAUACUUACAAGACAUUUAUUGCAUAGUCAAACCAUGGAUCCAGAGAAACAAGUCAAUAAGUCAAAUCAAGAUGUGCAUGUGUGGCGAAUGAAUGGUGUAUGGUCAUGAUGGUGAUAAUAAUGGUGAAAGUCUAAUUCUACUUUUGCUCUUUUGAGGGGAUACAUACCUUUCUUGCACUUUGAAGCUUUUUGGGGAGAAUGAGAUGCUCUAUAUUUUCUUUUUCUUUCCUCUUAGGUGGGUAUCUUGUACCCCUAAUUCUACUGUCGGACACUUGUCCAUUUUGAGCUCUCGUCUCACUUUUUUUCUUUUCUUCGAGGUUCCGGGCACUUGCCCCUUUUUAUUUCCUCGUAUUAUUAUAGUCCUCUCCAGGGGCCAGGGGGUCUCCUUAUAUAGUCCUCCUCCUCUAUGCGUUUUUGGGUCGGUAGGCGAUGUGGUACUACAUUAUCCUUGAUCCUUUAGGUCGGUGGAACAUCGUGUGCGAAGAGAGUCCCGAACGGAGUCCAGGACAGGGCGGGCGCCCAGGGAAGGAGGGCGGGCGCCCUGGGCCUGGCCCCUUUUGGCCUCUGCUUUCUUCCCGUGGCUUCUGGAGUCUUCUAGAUGGUAGAAAAUUGCGCGGUGCGUUGAUAUCUCUAUGUAAUCCCGACAUGUGGGCCUUUCUUCCGUAUUUCCUGAUAACCCCCUGCAGAAAUAGACAAACACCAAAACUCGUGGAAUUGUGUCAGAUAAAACCCUAAGUCUGGGUGUUGGUUGCAUGUAGAUCCUUUUAUUUAUUUAUUUGAUGAUUAUAUUUGGUACUUAAGGACCGUCAACACUAAGCCCCAUGAGUAUGCUCGUGGCAUAAAACUCAUAAGUACAUUCAGUGUGGUGGCAUAAAAAUAAAAUAAAUAUAUUUCUGUCCUAUAGAAAUGAAAAUAUAAAAAUAAAUUUAUGAUUCUACCAAAGAGAGUAAUAUUUAUUAGAGGAAGCUCAACAUGAUAAAGGCUAGAUAAUUAUACUAGCACUUAACUUGUUCCACAAAGCUUUGUUGUCUAUUUGAGCUCCAUAGAAUUCAAGGAUCAAAGAAGACUAGCAGACGGAGGACGUUCUAAUCGCUGUCAGGGUGCUGCCGACAUUCAAAUACACCUCCACCACCUGCUAGCUACAUCAGAAGAAAUUACGUCAAAAUCGAGCUUGGGGAGAGCACCCCGAUUUACCCAGCUAAGUGUUUCUACUCGUGUUUAUACUUUACUCAAAUAAUAAAAAGAUGCAUAAUCAUAAAAACCCAAAUAAAGAUUUUAUGCUUAUAUAUAUAUGCUAAAUAAAUAAAUAAAUAAAGUUUGGUAUGAACCCUUAUGAUAAGCUCUCACAUGGAAAUAAUGAAUAGUUGCUCUGCCUAGUUCUCAAAAUUGAAUUCUCUCUCAAGUUUAGGCAUGACUGUUAUGAAUUAAGAUUUGCUCUAAACCUGAACUUGUGGGAAGAGUACUUGAUCUAAAGUCUAAGUCGUUAACGGAUAUGAUAUGGGAAGGUUGAGAUGCUAUUUAUCUGUUCCUAGAGAUGCUAGAAAUCUGGAGAAUUUUAUCUUUGAAAAAUCUUUAAAAUAACAUAUGAUGAGUUCCUGUACGAUGAGAGUUUAAAUUCCUACUGUAGCCAUAUAUACAUGCUUGUUAGACUAUGAACCAUACAUUUACUUUUUACUGCUUAUGAGCAUUGAGUGUGGUCAAGCUGUGUAGACCCUUAGGAGCUUGUCAUGCGGUUAAAAUCAAGAUUCACUUGCACGUUCACUCAUACAUGCUGCUUCUACUCCGGAAGUACGCAUCCACAUAUAUCCACUCAUUUCCAUCUCCACAACCACUCAAAAAUAUUCUACUCCUAAUCCGAGAGAGAAUAACCAAAAACAUUUCUAUUUUUCUCCUAUGAAAUAAAUGCUCGAGUUAUCUUGGUUACUACCAAUUGCUAUAUUAUUCUAGGAGGGUGAGUGCUCUAAAAAAAAGAAAAAAAAUAGAAAAAAAAUACGAGGAAAUAAAAAGGGGCAAGUGCCCGAAACCUUGAAGAAAAGAAAAAGUGAGACGAGAGGUAAAAAUGGACAAGUGUCCGACAGUAGAAUUAGGGGUACAAGAACCCACCUGAGAGAAAAGAAAAAUAAAAUAUAGAGCAUCUCAUUCCCCUCAAAAAGCUUCAAAGUGCAAGAAAGGUAUGUAUCCCCUCAAAAGAGCAAAAGUAGAAUUAGACUUUCACCAUUAUUUUCACCGUUAUCACCAUACACCAAUCAUUCGCCACACAUGCACAUCUUGAUUUGACUUAUUGACUUGUUUCUCUGGAUCCAUGGUUUGACUAUGCAAUAAAUGUCUUGUAAGUAUGUAUUAGCUGUCUCCCACCUAUGAGCUCCAGAUAUCAAAACCUUAUUGGAGUAGGGUGAGAGAGAGAGCAAUAUCAUUAUGCCUCAUACCACAAAUACCACAUACUUUGAGAGAAGGCAUAUAUCAUCACUGCCUUGGUAAGGAUCUAGAAAUACCACAAAAGAGGACUAGAGAGAGUCAUACAAGGAAUCUCUGAGUUUUAUUUGAAGAUCUGGAAAAACACCAGAGCUAUAGUUGAUCAAAGAACAAGAGACAGGGUGCUUGACUUGACCGUUCUAUCUUUUAACUGCUCAAGACACAAGUGACGGUUGCAAGCCCCAUGGUGGAAGAUAAUAUGAGUAAGUUUAAAUCUUAACUAUUUACCUUAACCUAGAGAUGAGAUCUUGUUUGAACGCAUGUGUACCUUUAAGGCAUAAAACCACUGCAAAAACUCUUGAGUCCAUCCUUGCUCAGGGACGAGCAAGAGGUAAGCUUGGGGGAGUUGUUGACAGUCCUUAAGUACCAAAUAUAAUCAUCAAAUAAAUAAAGAAAAGGAUCCAAAUGCAACCAACACCCGAACUUAGGGUUUUAUCUGACAUAAUUCCACAAGUUUUGGUGUUUGUCUAUUUUUGCAGGGGUUAUCAGGAAAUACGGAAGAAAGGCCCACACGUCGGGAUUACAUAGAGAUAUCAACGUGCCGCGCAAUUAUCUUACAUUUAGAAGACUCCAGAAGCCACGGGAAGGAAGCAGAGGCCGAACAGGGCCUGGCCCUGGGCGCCCGCCCUCCUGAAGAGUCCAAUCAGAACUCUCUUUCGGGACUAAUCUCCACCGACCUAAAGGAUCAAGAAUUACCGUUCAAUCAAUGUUGGUUUGAUCUGACGGCCUAGAUUCACUUGAGGGGACUAUAUAACCAGACCCCCUGGCCCUUGGAGGAGGCACCCCUUGAUCAUUAUUCAUUAUUCAUAGACAGAGCAAAAGCUAGGGUUUGGAGAUGAGAGCUCUCCUCUCAUCUCUAAACUAGAGUAGAUCUAGAAAGUAGGG